CAAUCAAACUGGGAAAUAGCUCGUACUCCCCGAAAUGCAUUUAGGUGCAGCGUUGAUGUGAGUUUAAUAGAGGUAGAGCUACUGAUUGGAUGCGGGGGUUUCAUCGCCUACCAAUUCCUGACAAACUCCGAAUGCUAUUAAAUGCUCAUCAGCAGUGAGGGUAUGGGUGCUAAGGUCCAUAUCCGAGAGGGAAAGAACCCGGACCAUCAGCUAAGGUCCCCAAAUAUAUGCUAAGUUGACCAAACGCGGUCUGACUGCACUGACAGCUAGGAUGUUGGCUUGGAAGCAGCCAUACAUUUAAAGAGUGCGUAACAGCUCACUAGUCGAGCGGUUGGGCAUGGAUAAUAAACGGGCAUAAGCAUAUUACCGAAGCUAUGGGGUUAUUACUUAAGUAAUAUACCGGUAGGGGAGCAUUCUAUUGGCGUGGAAGCUAAAGGCGUGAGCCAUAGUGGAGCCUGAUAGAAAAGAAAAUGUAGGCAUAAGUAACGAUAAGGCAGGCGAGAAACCUGCCCGCCGAAAGAUCAAGGUUUCCUCAGCUAUGCUAAUCAGCUGAGGGUUAGUCGGGGACUAACGCGCACCCGAGCAGGGGAAGUGGAUGUACAACAGGUUAAUAUUCCUGUACCAUUAAUCUAAUAAAAGUGACGGAACGAGAUAACUACCGCGUACUGACGGAAUAGUACGUUAAAGGAGCAGUUAUAGCUUUAAUAGUACACUGAAGCUUCGGCCGAGGUGAUAGAGUGGUGACAACGUUUCCAAGAAAAGCGAAGAUUAAUGCCCGUACCGUAAACCGACACAGGUGAUUGGGAUGAGAAUUCUAAGGCGCUCGAGAGAUUCAUGGCUAAGGAACUAGGCAAAAUAGACCUGUAACUUCGGGAGAAAGGUCGCCUAUCGAUAGAUAGGCCGCAGUGAAAAGGUCCAAGCGACUGUUUAUCAAAAACACAGGACUCUGCAAAAUCGAAAGAUGAGGUAUAGGGUCUGACACCUGCCCGGUGCUGGAAGGUUAAGAGGAGAGCUUAGCAGCAAUGCGAAGGUUUGAAUUGAAGCCCCAGUAAACGGCGGCCGUAACUAUAACGGUCCUAAGGUAGCGAAAUUCCUUGUCGGGUAAGUUCCGACCUGCACGAAUGGUGUAACGAUUUGGACACUGUCUCGGCCAUGAGCUCGGUGAAAUUGUAGUAUCGGUGAAGAUGCCGAUUACCCGCAGUGGGACGAAAAGACCCUGUGCACCUUUACUAUAUCUUCGUAUUGGUCUUGGAUAAGUGAUGCGUAGGAUAGGUGGGAGACUAAGAAGCGGCUAUUCCGGUAGUUGUGGAGUCAUUGUUGAAAUACCACCCUUUGCUUAUCUGAGGUCUAACCCUGCUAAGAGUAGGGGACAAUUCGUGGAGGGUAGUUUGACUGGGGUGGUCGCCUCCAAAAGCGUAACGGAGGCUUCUAAAGGU
rnacentral:rRNA from 1 species